UGGGGAAUAUUGCACAAUGGGCGCAAGCCUGAUGCAGCCAUGCCGCGUGUGUGAAGAAGGCCUUCGGGUUGUAAAGUACUUUCAGCGAGGAGGAAGGCGUUGUGGUUAAUAACCGCAACGAUUGACGUUACUCGCAGAAGAAGCACCGGCUAACUCCGUGCCAGCAGCCGCGGUAAUACGGAGGGUGCAAGCGUUAAUCGGAAUUACUGGGCGUAAAGCGCACGCAGGCGGUCUGUCAAGUCGGAUGUGAAAUCCCCGGGCUCAACCUGGGAACUGCAUCCGAAACUGGCAGGCUAGAGUCUUGUAGAGGGGGGUAGAAUUCCAGGUGUAGCGGUGAAAUGCGUAGAGAUCUGGAGGAAUACCGGUGGCGAAGGCGGCCCCCUGGACAAAGACUGACGCUCAGGUGCGAAAGCGUGGGGAGCAAACA
rnacentral:rRNA from 1 species